GCCCUUUUAUCAGCACCUUCGACCCCCUAUAUUCCUCCUGUCGGGUUCGCCCGACUAUGGAGAUAAACGCGCUCGUAAUAAGCGGACUGGACCCGGGUGCGAUUCCCGGCGGCUCCACCAAAUCUUCUUCCGUUAUCGGGAAGUAAGCAGGGGGCCGAUCAGCAUCGACAGACGUGUAAAGGUGUUGCUUUCUCUCGGCUUGACCCACCGUUUCGGGUUAUUUUCUAAAUGCGAACGAUAACUUCGCUGAAGAAGUCCGCCUCGCCGCGUAAUGCGGUUCGGUAGACUUCGCGUCUAAAGUCCUGGGGGUUCAGAUCCUCAGGCGGGGCUCGGGGGGGGCCUGGCAACAGAACCCCCCCACU
rnacentral:tmRNA from 1 species